GCGGGCGUAGUUUAGUGGUAAAAUGCGACCUUCCCAAGGUCAUGUCGCGGGUUCGAUUCCCGUCGCCCGCU
rfam:Trichococcus sp. R210 isolate Trichococcus_R210 genome assembly, contig: TR210DRAFT_scaffold-3